UGGGGAAUAUUGCACAAUGGGCGAAAGCCUGAUGCAGCGACGCCGCGUGCGGGAUGAAGGCCUUCGGGUUGUAAACCGCUUUUGAUUGGGAGCAAGCGAGAGUGAGUGUACCUUUCGAAUAAGCACCGGCUAACUACGUGCCAGCAGCCGCGGUAAUACGUAGGGUGCAAGCGUUAUCCGGAAUUAUUGGGCGUAAAGAGCUCGUAGGCGGUUUGUCGCGUCUGGUGUGAAAGUCCAUCGCUUAACGGUGGAUCUGCGCCGGGUACGGGCAGGCUAGAGUGCGACAGGGGAGACUGGAAUUCCCGGUGUAACGGUGGAAUGUGUAGAUAUCGGGAAGAACACCAAUGGCGAAGGCAGGUCUCUGGGUCGUCACUGACGCUGAGGAGCGAAAGCGUGGGGAGCGAACAGGAUUAGAUACCCUGGUAGUCCACGCCGUAAACGGUGGAUGCUGGAUGUGGGGCCCAUUCCACGGGUUCCGUGUCGGAGCUAACGCGUUAAGCAUCCCGCCUGGGGAGUACGGCCGCAAGGCUAAAACUCUAAACUGAAUUGAC
rnacentral:rRNA from 1 species